rnacentral:tRNA from 1 species
GCGCCCGUAGCUCAGUAGGAUAGAGCAACAGACUUCUAAUCUGUGGGUCAGGGGUUCGAAUCCCUUCGGGCGCG